GUGGAUUAGAUACCCGGGUAGUCCACGCCGUAAACGAUGAGUACUAGGUGUCGGGGGUAUCGACCCCCUCUGUGCCGAAGCUAACGCGAUAAGUACUCCGCCUGGGGACUACGGCCGCAAGGCUAAAACUCAAAGGAAUUGACGGGGGCCCGCACAAGCAGCGGAGCGUGUGGUUUAAUUCGAUGAUACGCGAAGAACCUCACCCAGGUUUGACAUGCAUGUGGUACUGAGGUGAAAGCCAAGGGACCCUUCGGGGAGCAUGCACAGGUGUUGCACGGCCGUCGACAACU
rnacentral:rRNA from 1 species